rnacentral:lncRNA from 1 species
CCUUUUUAAUGCUUAGCUGUGGUCUAUCGCAAAGUUCUUCUUGAUCUUUUCUAGCCUUCGGAUUAUCUUUCGUCUUGUCAAUAAUGUUGAGAAUUGUGUUGAAAAGGGCUUCGGCGACAUUCUUUUCGGUGUGCAUCACAUCAAUACAAUGUGGAAGAAUAAUGUCUUUGAAGUAGGGGAGCUCCCAGAAGCAUGACUUGUG